UUCCGUGACAGUGCGGUUUUCACGCACGUUUGGAGCGCGUUUGCGGUGUGACGCGCUGGGAGGCGGGAGGGAGCGCAGGCUGGCUGGACUUCGCGCGGCGCCCUGCCCACGGCUCAGUGACCCGCAGGCUCUCUCGUCCCGGGGUCAACCCAGCGCAUCCAGGAAGGAUGUGGGCGCUCGGCCGCCGCCUCCAAUCUCCUGCGCGUCCCAGUUCGCGCCCCACUAACAGGCCCCUCUGAGCCGAGACCCCCGCGGCCGCCUGCGUCCCGCGCCAUCCUCCGCCCCCAAGGGUCCCGCCACCCUUCGUCUGCUCCCGCCCCGCCUCCCCCACCUGCGAUCGGUCUCGGGUCCGCGUUCGCCCUCGGCCCGCGACCUCGCUCCCACCCAUCUUCUUCGCGCGCCCUCCCGGUCCCAGCACGGCCCCCGGCCCCCCGGCCUUCCGACCGUGGUCUCCGCGCCCUCCCCGCGCCCCUCUCCGGCCCGGCUCCCGGCGGGGCGGGGCCUCGCAGGCGGAAGUGCCCGGGGCGCCGGCGGCUGGGACCAGCCCGGACGAUGGGAGCCCGGGGCAGAGGCGGCGGCGGCGGCCGCAGGGGCGGCGGUGGCUGCCCAGGCGGCGGCGGGGGUGCGCGGCCGGGGACGCGGGCCCGGUAGCGCGGGGCCGAGCGCGGAGCCAUGGGCCGGGCUGGGACCCGGGCCGGGCGCGCGGCGGCGGUGGCGGCGGCGGCGGCGCUGGCGGUGGCCGGGCCGCUGCUUCUGCUGCUACUGCUCGCUCGGCCCCCGCUUGCCGCCGCCGGCGACAGCUCGAAAAGCGACACCAGGCUGGUGCUGGAGCAGUUUUCACAGUCCCCACAGAAGCUGGCGUUCUACAGCUGGUACGGCAGCGCCAGGCUCUUCCACUUCCGCGUGCCCCCGGACACGGUGCUGCUGCGCUGGCUGCUCCAGGUGUCCCGGGGCAGCGGCCCGACCUGCACUAACAUGGAGAUCACCGUGUACUUCCGCUACGGCGCCCCUCCGGUCAUCAACCCACUGGGCACCAGCUUUCCCGACGGCACCUCUGUGAAGCCUUCCUUCCUGCUCAAGAUGCUGCACAGCAAUGCCUCCGUGAACAUCUCCCACCCAGCGCCUGGGGACUGGUUUGUGGCCGCCCACCUGCCCCCGUCAUCCCACAAGAUUGAGGUGAAGCCUGACAUGCUGCUCGUGCGGGUGGUGGAGGUCUCCGUCCUGGAGCCCGACGUGCCCCUCGCCCAGACCCUCCUCUCCCACCCCAGCUACCUCAAAGUCUUCGUCCCUGAGUACACCCAGGAGCUGCUGCUGGAGCUUCAGGGCUGUGCGGCCAACGGGAGCCUGGGCUGCCCUGUGCACCUCACCGUGGGCUCGGCCACCCUGCCUGGCAACUUCCAGAAGGUGCUCACCUGCAGCAACAGCACCCAGGCCUGUCGCCUGCUGCUUUCUUCACCGCCCUGGGACCGGUGGCUGCAAGUGACAGCCAAGAGCCUGGCAGGGCCCCACGUGUCUGUGGCUUUCCAUGCUGUAGCUGCCCUAACAGCCUGCAGGCCAUGGAGUUUGAAUUUCCAGCACCUUCUGCAGAGCAGCUUGAACCAGAGCAGCAGCGCCCUCUCCGGUCGGUUGCCCCCCAGCCCCGGCAGCCAAGAUCUGGGCAGGACCCAGGGGGCAGGUGGCGGCCCCUUCUGCCUCAGGAACUACCCGGUCCUGCGGGAGGACAUGGACGUGGUGUCUGCGCGCUUCCAGCUCCUGGACCGGGUCUCGGUGCCGGUGUGGUCAGAUGUGCCCUCACUGGUGCGGCUGCAUCUCAAUACAGGCAUGGACAGCGGGGGCUCACUCACCAUCUCCGUGCAGCUCAACAAGACCGAGAUUGCCAACCGCACCUCGGUGGGGGUCUGCGUGACUGCCGCCUCGCCCUUCCUCGGCUUCAACACUUCGCUCAACUGCAGCACAGCCUUCUUCCAGGGCUACCCCUUGUCUCUGAGUGCCUCGUCUCGCAAGGCCAACCUCAUCGUGCCCUACCCAGAGACAGACAACUGGUAUCUCUCCCUGCAGCUCAUGUGCCCUGAGAGUCCUGAGGAGUGUGAGCAGGCCUCGGUCCUUGUGGAGACCAGCUUCUACUUGGUGCCCUGUCUGGACGACUGCGGACCCUACGGCCAGUGCCUCCUGCUGCGCAGACACGGCUACCUUUAUGCGGGCUGCAGCUGCAAAGCAGGUGAGGUCCAGUCCUGGUGUCUCCCCGUACUCAUGCCUUCCUCUGGGAGCCCAGCCCACCUCUGCCAGGGUUCGGAAGCACCCCCGAAGAACAGGGGCAAAGGCCGCCUUCCACAUGGGUACCGAGCUCCCACAUGGGUACCAAGAGGUGCCCCCAGAGAUGGUACUACCUUCCGACCUUGGCCUCCCCUGCUCACGCUUGCCCUUACCUGCCCUCACCUGCCCUCACCUGCCCACACCUGCCCUCACCUGCCCUCACCUGCUCACAACUGCCCUCACCUGCCCACACCUGCCCUCACCUGCCCUCAUCUCCUCACACCUGCCCUCACCUGCUCACACCUGCCCUCACCUGCUCACACCUGCCCUUACCUGCCUACACCUGCCCUCACCUGCUCACACCUGCCCUCAUCUCCUCACACCUGCCCUUACUUGCCUACACCUGUCCUUACCUGCCUAUACCUGCCCUUCCCUGCCCACACCUGCCCUUCCCUGCCCAUACCUGUCUCUUACCUGCCCACAUUGGCCUACACCCACCAUCAUGUGCCCCACACCUGUUCCGCCUCUGUUUCACAGCUGCCCCUACUAGCCCCACACCUGUCCCAUUCCUGCCUGCACCUGCUCAGGCCUGCCCACACCUGGCCUCACCUGCCCAUACCCGUGCCUCCUUUUCUCUGCCCACACUGGCCUCCACCACCCACACCAAUGCGCACCUGUUCCAGCCUGCUCUGGGGUGAGGAAGGGGCUUCUCUGCAGGGCCCUGGGCGAGGGGUGGAGCCUCAGCCCUGCAGCGUCACCUUGGCCCACAGGCUGGCGCGGGUGGAGCUGCACAGACAACAGCACAGCACAGACCUUGGCCCAGCAGAGGGUGGCCGCCCUCUUGCUCACGCUCAGCAACCUCAUGUUCCUGGCUCCCAUUGCCGUCUCCGUGCACCGCUCCCUCCUGGUGGAGGCCGCUGUCUACACCUACACCAUGUUCUUCUCCACGGUAGCCCUGCCCUGCUCCCCGGGGUGGGUGGGCUUGGGGGGAGGGCUGCCUGCCACUCAUCGCCCUGCCCUGCAGUUCUACCAUGCUUGCGACCAGCCAGGGGAUGCCGUGCUGUGUAUCCUCAACUAUGACACGCUGCAGUACUGUGACUUCCUGGGCUCUGGGGUGUCCGUCUGGGUCACCGUGCUCUGCAUGGCGAGACUGAAGGCAGCCCCGAAAUACGUAAGUGGCCUCCUGACCUUCUGGCUCUGGGGGAGCGGCGGCCCCCUGUGCACAGCAUGUGGAGGGGGAGACUGAAAGGGGGUUCAGCUGCUGCCCUGAGAAGCCUCUGGUUUUGACCAGUCCUUAUGGGUGGAGGCUGCCUCUGGGAACCGUGCUGGCUGCCUGGAGGAUGCCAGGAAGGGAAAGGUGAGACAGGCAAGGCCCAUUCACAGAGGAGGCCUGGGGAGUUCCCUGGUGGUCUAGUGGUUAGGAUUCGAUGCUUUCACCGUUGCAGCCCAGCUUUAAUCCUCGUCUGGGGACCGAGAUCCUGCGUUAAGCCACUGCACACUGCAGUCAAAACAAAAAACCCUCUUCGGAGUUCCCGUUGUGGCUCAGUGGUAAUGAACCCAGCUAGUAUCCGUGAGGAUGUGGGUUCGAUCCCUGGCCUCACUCAGUGGGUUGAAAGACCCAGCAUUGCCGUGAGCUAUGGUAUAGGUCAUAGACACAGCUCGGAUCCAGUGAUCCCUGGCCUGGGAACUUCCACAUGCUGCGGAUGCCACCCUAAAAAGCAAAAAAGAAAAGAAAGAAGGCCUGGCCUCCAGCCCUGGGCCUGCCUCCCUGAGAAGCCCCCAGCUGUGCCGUCGGAGUCCCUGAGGCCGAGGACCCUUUGGGGGCAUUUCCGCUGUAGCUGGGCCAGCCUGAUGGAAACGCGUGUCCUGGUGCCCUGCCUGCCAAGGUUCUGUUUCUCCUGGGCACCCUGGUCUUCGCCAUGUCCUUGCAGCUGGACCGCAGGGCCGCCUGGAACAUGCUGGGGCCGUGCCUCUUUGCCAUCGUGGUUAUGGUCACCAUGUGGGUGUACCGCUGCGGGCGCCGACGCCGCUGCUACCCGCCCUCCUGGCAGCGCUGGGUCUUCUACCUCCUGCCUGGCAUCGCCAUGGCCUCUGUGGCCAUUGCCAUCUACACCGCCAUGAUGACCAGCGACAACUAUUACUACACCCACAGCAUCUGGCACAUGCUGCUGGCUGGCAGCGCUGCGUUCCUGCUGCCACCAAGGGACCAACACACCGAGCCCUGGGCCUGCUCCCAGAAGCUCACCUGCCACUAUGAUAUCUGCAGGAACCGCCAGGAAGAGCUGUACACAGUGACAUGACGUGGCCCGCUUGGGGACACCUGCGGCUUUGAUGAUUUCUCCGGCCAGGGGCAGGACCAGGGGAGAGGUACCCUGUCCAGAUGGAUUUCCAGCCGAAUAAAAUUGCACUGCUGUGCUCUCACUUCCUCCUCCUCCGGAGGCAAGGCCACACCCCCAGCUCCCUUAUGCCUACUGGCUGCCAGCUACCCGGUCCCUCUGCAGGGCCCAGCGGGUGUCUGCAGUGGCUCCUGAGGCCUGGCCCUGGCUGCCUGGAGACCACAGGUACCAAGUGGGGAAGCCCCUGUGGUCUGCUGGCCUGGAGAUGGUUGGAGGGAAACGUAGAGUAAGAUGGCUGUGUCGCCCUGUUCCUGUGUGAGGCUGUGCUCUGGCACUUAGGCUGGUAGCUGUGCCGCCGCGUGGCUCCUUGACCCCUUGUGCCCCAGCAGGAUGCCCCCUGCUGAUGCAUUUGCCACGGGAAGGGGCGAUCGUGCCAAGGGAGCUGAUGGCACUGGGUGGCCUAAGGGCUAGCUGCCACGAGGGCAUGGGGAAGGCUGGCUUCUGGCUGGCUGGCCACCCCUACCCCUUCACGUUGGCUCCAAAACUGGGAGGCCUUCGUGGAGAGGAGGCUCCAAGAUGCUCUGGGAGUGCUGGGCUCCCAGGGCACACCUUGUCCCAACUCUACCCCACUGCCCUCUGGGUUCCUGGGCCCUUGUCUAGUGAGCAUCUCCUUGAGAAGAGAAGGGGACGGCGGCCACCCUGACCUCGCUCAAACACGUGUCUGCAGAGGGGGCUCCUGGGGACCUGGCCUAACCUCUCUCGUGGUGAAAGCAGGACAUUGAAGACAUUUUUCUGUAGCUCUGAUUUCACUGUGAUUGAUGAAUUUAAUAUUCUACACUGAUGUUUCAAGG